UGAAGACAUAGGUCAGUGGCAGAACACUUGCCUAGCAUGCAGGAGGCCCUGAGUUCUAUCCACAGCACUGCAA
rnacentral:tRNA from 1 species